rnacentral:rRNA from 1 species
GACGAACGCUGGCGGCGUGCUUAACACAUGCAAGUCGAGCGGUAAGGCCCUUUCGGGGGUACACGAGCGGCGAACGGGUGAGUAACACGUGGGUGACCUGCCCUCAGCUCUGGGAUAAGCCUGGGAAACCGGGUCUAAUACUGGAUAUGACUCCAUGACGCAUGUUGUGGGGUGGAAAGCCUUGUGCGGCUGAGGAUGGGCCCCGCGGCCUAUCAGCUUGGUUGGUGGGGUGANGGCCUACCAAGGCGACGACGGGUAGCCGGCCUGAGAGGGCGACCGGCCACACUGGGGCUGAGACACGGCCCAGACUCCUACGGGAGGCAGCAGUGGGGAAUCUUGCGCAAGUAGGGCGAAAGCCUGACGCAGCGACGCCGCGUGA